rnacentral:rRNA from 1 species
GAUGAACGCUGGCGGCGUGCCUAAUACAUGCAAGUCGAGCGAACGGACGAGAAGCUUGCUUCUCUGAUGUUAGCGGCGGACGGGUGAGUAACACGUGGAUAACCUACCUAUAAGACUGGGAUAACUUCGGGAAACCGGAGCUAAUACCGGAUGAUAUUUUGAACCGCAUGGUUCAAAAGUGAAAGACGGUCUUGCUGUCACUUAUAGAUGGAUCCGCGCUGCAUUAGCUAGUUGGUAAGGUAACGGCUUACCAAGGCAACGAUGCAUAGCCGACCUGAGAGGGUGAUCGGCCACACUGGAACUGAGACACGGUCCAGACUCCUACGGGAGGCAGCAGUAGGGAAUCUUCCGCAAUGGGCGAAAGCCUGACGGAGCAACGCCGCGUGAGUGAUGAAGGUCUUCGGAUCGUAAAACUCUGUUAUUAGGGAAGAACAUAUGUGUAAGUAACUGUGCACAUCUUGACGGUACCUAAUCAGAAAGUCACGGCUAACUACGUG